CACGUGUACGUGCCUCCAUCUGACACCUGAACGCGAGCAAUGCUGAACAACACAGUAUACUUGGUUACAAAUCACACAAAACUGCUAAUACGCUGCUAAUGUUUUUAACAAAUAUGAUAAAUGCCUGUGCAAAGUUUUUUUCCCCCGAGGCGUAUGUGUAAACAUAUUGGAAACGUAAUUUUUGAGCGUGUUUACCGCAGGACUUGUCCAGCAGACAGCGGGCGUAUGUGGGAGGACACAGCCAGGGGCAGGCCGUUUUUCAGCCAAUUGAGCUGAGGUGGAGGAGAUCCGCUGGCCACGCACUCGAUGUUUACCGAGCUGUCCACGACUGGCGUCAACACCUCGGCUGCGUCCCCGUUACUCUGGAUCACUGGAGGGACUGAGGACAGGAAGCAGCUUUUGGAGUAAUACGGAGUUUGUCCAUUAGCGGAGAUGUGAAGGUUGGUGGUCUCGGUGACGAGACGUCCGUUCUUGUACCAGGUGAUUGUGGGAGGUGGGAUGGCGUUGGACUGGCACUCCAGAGUGACCGACUUCCCCACACGCACAUUGACCACUACGGGAGAGUCGCCGCUGCGGUCCCUGAUGCUGGGUGGAACUGCAGCGUAGAAGAAAAACAGGCAGGAUUUCUAUAUUUGUAGAUAUUCUGAAUAUGCCCUUCAAUGACUGGGAAAGAAAUCAAAACAUAUUGCAAAUUAUUUGAUUUAUUUAUUUAUUUGUACUAAAUUUGGCUUAUCCACUGAUCCUGGAUCAAACAUGUUUUGUAUUAUGGGAUGCAGACAACAUCCCAUUAGCAAUCUGCUAAACUGAGCCAAAAGGACUCUGUAGUGCUGCAGAAACGCCCCGUGUCCUGGAGAUUUGGGCCAACGGACAAAAUAGGAAAUUUAUCUCCAUUUCUUGUAUACGCUCAUGUGUGCACGCUGACCAAAAACUGUGAGGUAGAUGAUCUUCUGUGCCUCUCCUGCUGGGUUCAUGGCCACGCAACUGUACUUCCCACCAUCAGACAUUUUAGCCUUCAGAAUCUGUAACGUUCGGCCGCCUAAAAGACAAAACAAAUAUACAUAAAAUAUCAACAUGCAUAAACAUGUUUUGUU
ensembl:lncRNA